CUUCACUACCAAUCUCUUUUUGGGGGUAUGCCUUAGAGACUGCCGCCCAUAUCCUUAACCGAGUCCCUACUAAGAAGGUUGCCAAAACACCUCACGAGAUGUGGACAGGGAAAGCUCCCUCGUUGGCACAUAUCAAGGUUUGGGGUUGCGAGGCUUUCGUAAGACGAGAUACUCACGACAAGCUUGAACCUCGAAGUGAGCGAUGUAUUUUCAUCGGCUACCCGCAGACAUCCUUUGGAUAUCUCUUCUAUAGACCGAAGGACAAUGUUGUCUUCGUUGCGAGGAGAGGAGUUUUCCGAGAGCGAGAACUCAUAAGCCAAGGAGACAGUGGGAGGCAAAUCGAGCUUGAAGAGAUUCAAGAGUCGAUAGAUGAAGGAACCUCUACCGCUGGCACUCAACCCGAGGAGGAAACUCCGGUUGAACCGAUUGACGAAUCCUUACCUCUUAGACGUUCCGAUAGAGUUAGAGUUCAACCCCAGUUUUAUGGUUUUCAUAUUACUACCGAAGGGGACACGUAUAUUAGUGAUGGUACACUAAUAAAUCUUGAUGAACCUAAUAGCUAUAAGGAAGCCAUGGCAGGCCCGGAGUCUGCAAAAUGGAAAGAGGCAAUGGAUAGCGAGAUCCAAUCCAUGUAUGAUAACCAAGUUUGGAAUUUGGUUGAUUAUGUGCCCGGACGUAAGACCGUUGGGUGCAAAUGGAUCUUCAAGAAGAAGACCGACGUGGAUGGAAACGUACACACAUAUAAAGCGCGAUUGGUUGCGAAGGGCUUUACUCAAACUCCCGGAGUUGACUAUGAUGAGACCUUCUCACCAGUUGCGAAGAUUAAAUCUAUUAGAGUGAUGCUAGCAAUUGCCGCAUUUCAUGAUUAUGAGAUUUGGCAAAUGGAUGUCAAGACCGCUUUCCUUAACGGAAAGUUGGCUGAGGAUGUUUACAUGGCUCAGCCAGAGGGGUUUGUGGAUCCGAAGCAUCCGAAUAGAGUGUGUAAGCUUGAGAAGUCCAUUUAUGGACUUAAGCAAGCGUCUCGCAGAUGGAAUCUUUGCUUCGAUGAGAAAGUCAAAGAGUUUGGAUUUGUACGAAGCGAAGACGAAUCUUGUGUAUAUGUCAAAGCCAGUGGGAGUAUAGUAAGCUUCCUCGUUCUAUAUGUCGAUGACAUAUUACUCAUAGGAAACGACAUCCCGACUCUGCAGGAGGUUAAGUCCUGGCUCGGGAAGUGCUUCGCUAUGAAGGACCUCGGAGAGGCUUCUUACAUUUUGGGAAUAAGGAUAGUAAGAGAAAGAAGUAAGAGACUAAUUGGACUUAGUCAGAAUACUUACUUAGAGAAGGUACUAAAACGUUUUAGUAUGGAAAACUCAAAGAAGGGAGAACUACCGAUACAAAGUAAUGCCAAAUUGAGUAAGACUCAAAGUCCGAGUACCGAAGCUGAGAUAGCAGAAAUGAGCCGAGUACCAUACGCUUCCGCAGUUGGCUCAAUCAUGUACGCUAUGACUUGUACUCGCCCUGAUGUAGCCUUCGCUUUGAGCAUGGUUAGCAGAUAUCAAGGGAAUCCUGGCAAAGCACAUUGGAUUGCGGUGAAGAAUAUCCUUAAGUACCUUCGGAGGACGAAGGAAUGGUUCUUAGUCCUCGGAGGGAGUGAUGACUUGAAGGUGCGAGGGUAUAGUGACGCCAGUUUUCAGACCGACAGGGACAACUACCGUUCGCAGUCGGGCUGGGUCUUUACCCUAAAUGGAGGAGCAGUGACAUGGAAGAGUUCCAAGCAGGAAACCGUAGCUGAUUCAACGUGCGAAUCAGAGUACAUUGCAGCGAGCGAAGCGUCGAAGGAGGCAAUAUGGCUAAAGAACUUCAUCGGUGAUCUUGGAGUCGUACCUGCCAUAAAGGAGCCAAUGGAGAUUUUCUGUGAUAACGAAGGUGCGGUUGCCUUAACCAAGGAACCGAGGGAUCAUGGUAGAUCAAGACAUAUCGACAGAAAGUAUCACUUCAUUAGACAUCGUGUAGAAGAAGGACAACUCGUAGUGAAGAGGAUAUCAUCAGAAGAUAACCCAGCAGAUCCGCUUACGAAGGGACUGAGUAGGGUUAAGCACUUGCAGCAUGCUAGGAGUAUUGGGCUGAAGGAUGAUAUUAGCAUAGAUUAGAUAGUAUUAGAAACGUGUAAUAGAUAAAUGUAAUUGACAUUUGAUGAUUAAAUAAAGGAGUUUUAUUUAUGAGUAAUGUUACUAUCUUAUGUUAAUUGUUUAGCUAUUGUUUCACUUUGCAUGUUUUGACUUCCAGAAUAAUUGAGUUUAUUAGGAAUAAUCGAAUUAUUCAAAUGGUCCACAAUCGUUCAUAUGUUGGGAGUAGAUAUGAAAGAAGAUUGUCAUGAAUUGGUGUGUAGAAUGUCUAAAUGGUGUUAGACAUAGCAAAGGAUUGCUGCAACGUUCAUGAGUGCUUAUGAACUAGUUUUGAGCAUUGGAAUAAACCCGCGCUUGCUGGAAUCACCUUAUGGAAUACGAUAUAAAAGGUGAUCGCAAGACGAUAAUAUCAUAUAGUCUUAAAACCUAGAUAUAUGGUUUAUUAUUUGUUAAUUGAUUGUACAUUGAUAAUACGAAAACGCAUCAGUAACUUGGUGUUAUAAAACGUAUUGUUGUGUAUAGUUGGUUAAUGAAUAAGUAAAUGCAUAUAAGUCGAAGUUUAUCUGUAACUUUUAUCUAAGAAGGUAAAAGCGAUAUCUCGGCCGCUCGAUGAUUUGAUUUGACUUAUGUGCCGGGCCCGGUCAGAACUGAAUUGAUGUGUUCGAUUAAGUUCUAUGUCAAAUAAAUCAGAGAUCGAGAAACCUAAAUGCUUGACUAACCAUUCCAUAGGAUUGUCAGCAUGAUAUCUAACAGAGGACUGUACGUUCCCUUAUCUAAAGGACAAGAUUGAUUAGAUCAGAGUUGACAGCGUCUUUGAGAGCUACGAUUGCAAACCGAAUUGUACUUGUAUAGUUACUAGACUUAUCCAAGUGGGAGACUGUUGGAAUAGUGUCUAAGGCUGUAACUAUAUCCGGUUGUGCAUGGUCCUUUUGGGUUGCCUUCACCAUAGCAACUUGAUAGGAUGAUUUAUUAAGAGAGAAUAAAUAUUAUUAAUAUAUUAUGGGAAUAAUAUAAUGAAUAAUAUAUUUGUUAUUUGAUUAAUAUAAGUCAUAGAAUUAAUUAGAAUUAAUUUGGUGACUUAAAGAGAUUAAUUAAAUAAAGGGGUAUAAACUGUCAAUUGUUUGAUAGUUAAGCUUUAAACUGUAAAUCCAUUUGGAUAUACUAUGGACGAAUUCUAAGAGGAUUAGGAUAGCUAAAAUCGUCCAUUAGAGUUAUCUAGGAAUGGAUUUGGAUAGCCUUAAGAGAAGAUUAUCUGAUAGGGACUUAUCUGUAAUCCUUAAGGAGUCUACAAGUAUAAAUAGACCCCAUGGCUGAUGGAAUUCGACACUUGACCUAAAGUAAGGAACCUCUGGUCGAAAUUCCUCCCCUCUCCUCUCUCCCAAAUCAUCCUCCUUGCUUUGGUGUUUGUAAGCCAUUAGAGGAGUGACAUUUGUGACUCUAGAAGCUCCAAGACCUCAAGAUCAACAAGGAACUCAAAGGUAUGAUUCUAGAUCUGUUUUAAUGUUCUUGUUUAACCUAAUUAGUAAUUAGAAGUCUUGGAUUCAAAGCAUGUUUAUUAGAAAGCCUAGAUCCAAGCAUUAGGGUUUUGCAUGCGCACAUAGGAAAGUUCUUAUGGCUAAAACCCAUCAGUGGUAUCAGAGCCUAGCUUGGUUUUCUGUAAAUUGUUGCUUGAUUAACUGAAACAAACCUGCAAAAUUCGAAUUUUUGGUUUCUGAGUCAUGGACUCGGCGAGUCUCAAAGUGGACUCGGCGAGUAGGCCUGACUCGGCGAGUCCAUUUGUGCACUCGGCGAGUCCAGGCGUCAGGAAUGGCCAGAUUCGGGAUUUCUUUGUGUUUAUCUUAUCUUAACUUACCAUAAACUAAUUAGAUCAACAUUAAUUCGUUUUUCUGAUAAAUAUAACUAUUAUCUUGAUCUAGUUAAAGGUAAUUAUCAACUAAUUAAAUAUUUAAUUUCCUUAUAUGAUAAUUAAUUAAUUAUUUUGAUUAUUUUGGUAAUUAUCUUUAAAAGAAAUCUUGAAUAAAUCAAAUAUAGAUAAUUAGGAUAUUAAUUGUUAAUUGGAAUUAUUUGUUAUUUGAUCCUCCAUGUUUUAAAUGUUUAAAACCUACCCUCAUGUUUUGAAAUUUACUUUUGUGAUUAAAAGUUUUAAUUUAGACAACUUAAAUUUCAAACCCUAGAUUUUAAAAGUUUUAAAAUACAACCCUAUACUAAUAUGAUAUUACUAGAAUAAUAUAUAUAUGUAUAACUAAAUGCUAGUCUUACCGUUAGUAGGCCUCAUUCACGAAGCCGAUCUAUAAGGUGGGUAUAAGGUUGCGGCCUAUAAAAUGGCGCUUAAUGGGUGUACACUCACACCCACCGCUUGCUUGAUUGGUGGAGGGUCGUUAGCCGAACGGGUAGGAUAGGGCAACCUCAUCCUCUCAUUAAAAGUAUAAUAAGAAAUAUAAAGUAACUACACAUUUUUUUAAAAUUUCCCAAUCCUAGUUACUUUAGGAAAAGUGAAUUGAUGCAAUCCCAUGAAAUUACACUUUGCACCUUGCUAAGAUGUUAGUGGAGCGUGUGUGGUUUACCGGCACACUAAUUGGUUCUAAGCGAAGGUGGCAAAGGGUGAUUCAUUGUUUAUCAUAGUUCGAUGGAGCGUGUGUGGUUUACCGGCACAUCGAAUAGGUGAUUGUUACAAUGAAGGCACCAUGUGAAUUUGCAUGGUAAUUCACACCCGCUUUGUGAUCCUCGGCAUCCCAGUCACAAACAAGAGGGGCAUAUCGAGAUUUAAACAUGCCAUUGAAUAGUUUCAAUGAAUCUCAUCCGAACCUAGGAAUUCUCAAAAACACUUAGGACUAAUAGUUUAAGUUUUGUGAUGGAGAAUUAGUGAAUCGUCAUUCACUUACCUUCAAUUUAUUUGCAUGUUAGAUUACGGCAUCCCUUUUCUAGUAUGUAAAUGUUAUUGUUGGAUCCUAGCCCUAAUUUUCUUAUUGGGUGAUAAUUAGGGAUUCUUAUUCUAAUCUAUCUUUGUCCUUUUCUAAUUGUAGAUGUCGAACGCAAACAACGCUGCUGCUAGUUCUUUCACGUUGAUGAGCCUUUGCCAAAAGGUCACCUUCGAUGGAACGAACUUUAGCGAAUGGAUAAGAUACAUUCGCACCAUUGCUCGCUAUGAGGAUAAGGAGUAUGUCCUCGAUGAGAAGCUCGAGAAAAUCAACCCCGAAAUUGCUACUCCCGCCGAAAUCACCGCCUUUGAAACUCAUGAGCGAGAUGCAACGAAGGUACAUUGCAUCAUGAUCGCCACCAUGAACUCCGAAUUCCAAAAGUCCUACGAGGACAUGUACCCGUACGAGAUGCAUCAAGACUUAUUGGAGAGGUACCACCAAAACGCGAGACAAGAGAGGUACGAGAUUUUCACUAACAUGAUUUCCGCGAAGAUGGGUCAUGGAGAAUCUCUUACCGUGCACUUGCAAAAGAUGCAAAGGUAUGUUGACCGCCUCCGCAAGUUAAAUGUUGACUUCGGUGAAGACUUGGCGAUCGACAUGGUGCUUCACUCUUUGCCUCCGAUGUACAACCAAUUUAGGAUGACCUACCACAUGAACAAAGAAGAGGUCACCCUAAGCAAGCUCCAAGGUCUCUUGAGGGUUGCUGAGAGCAACUUCAAAGACAAGUCUGUUGCACCUACUCCCAAUCCGCCCGCUGCUCCUGUCUUGGCUAUUGGACAAGGGAAGGGAAAGAAGAGGAAAGCUUCAUCGAAGAACUAUCGCAAGGUGAAAGCCCGAGAUGGUGCCUCUUCUAGUGGGACCAAAGUUGAUCCCGCCAAGCCCUGCUCUAACCCGAAGGAGGCAGAGUGCCACCACUGCCACAAGAUAGGACAUUGGAAGAGAAGCUGCCCGGAUUACCUGCAAGCAAUCAAAGAAGGAAAGAUCAAGCCAUCUUUCGCAGGUAUAUAUACAAUCAAAUCUAACGAUUCUAAUCAUGCUAUUUCUUGGGUUCUUGAUACCGGUUGUGGUUAUCACAUUUGUUCUAAUGUGCAGGGACUAAGAAGAAGUAGGGAUGUGGAGCAAGGAAGGAUCAAUCUAAUCAUGGGGAACAGAAGAUCGUCGCCUGUGACCAAGAUUGGAGUGUAUUCCUUAGUGCUUAGGAAUAGUUUAGUUUUAGAUUUGAACAAUUGUUGCUAUUCGCCAGAAAUGGCAAGAAACAUCAUUUCAUUUCAUGGUUUAUAUAGACAAGGAUUUAGAUUUUCUUUUAAUAAUGAGAAUGGUUCUAUUUUGGCUUAUCUAAAUGGUGUCUUUUACUUUGAAGCUAUACCAUGUAAUGGAAUAUAUGAAACCGUUAUGAUUGUUGAUAACUUAGGAAAUGAUGUUUUGAAUAUUGAUUCUUCCACUAGUAUGGAUAAAGCAUCCUUGUGGCAUUGUCGUCUUGGACAUGUCAACAAGAAACGCAUAGCCCAACUCCAAAAGGAUGGAGUGUUGGAGUCAUUCGACCUUAGGGAAGAUGACACAUGCGAGUCUUGUUUACUUGGAAAGAUGACUAAGUCACCCUUCACGAGUACAUGUGAAAGGGGUGAGGGUCUAUUGGACCUAAUACAUACCGAUGUAUGUGGACCGUUUAGAUCAACCACGAAGGAUGGGAACCGCUUCUAUGUGACUUUUACCGAUGACUAUAGUAGAUAUGGGUAUAUCUACUUAAUCAAGCAAAAGUCAGAAACCUUUGAAAAGUUCAAAGAGUUCAAGAAUGAAGUGGAGAAUCAAUUGGGCAGGAAAAUCAAGAUGCUUCGAUCCGAUCGAGGAGGAGAGUACCUAAGUCUUGAAUUCCACGAUUAUCUCAAGGAGUGUGGAAUAGUUUCGCAAUUGACGCCUCCUAGGACACCGCAGUUGAAUGGUGUGGCAGAAAGGCGUAAUCGAACCUUAUUGGAUAUGGUUCGCUCUAUGAUGAGUCGUGCUUCACUACCUAUCUCUUUUUGGGGGUAUGCCUUAGAGACUGCCGCCCAUAUCCUUAACCGAGUCCCUACUAAGAAGGUUGCCAAAACACCUCACGAGAUGUGGACAGGGAAAGCUCCCUCGUUGGCACAUAUCAAGGUUUGGGGUUGCGAGGCUUUCGUAAGACGAGAUACUCACGACAAGCUCGAACCUCGUAGUGAGCGAUGUAUUUUCAUCGGCUACCCGCAGAAAUCCUUUGGAUAUCUCUUCUAUAGACCGAAGGAUAAUGUUGUCUUUGUUGCGAGGAGAGGAGUUUUCCGAGAGCGAGAACUCAUAAGCCAAGGAGACAGUGGGAGGCAAAUCGAGCUUGAAGAGAUUCAAGAGUCGAUAGAUGAAGGAACCUCUACCGCUGGCACUCAACCCGAGGAGGAAACUCCGGUUGAACCGAUUGACGAAUCCUUACCUCUUAGACGUUCCGAUAGAGUUAGAGUUCUACCCCAGUUUUAUGGUUUUCAUAUUACUACCGAAGGGGACACGUAUAUUAGUGAUGGUACACUAGUAAAUCUUGAUGAACCUAAUAGCUAUAAGGAAGCCAUGGCAGGCCCGGAGUCUGCGAAAUGGAAAGAGGCGAUGGAUAGCGAGAUCCAAUCCAUGUACGAUAACCAAGUUUGGAACUUGGUUGAUUACGUGCCCGAACGUAAGACCGUAGGGUGUAAGUGGAUCUUCAAGAAGAAGACCGACGUGGAUGGGAACGUACACACAUAUAAAGCGCGAUUGGUUGCGAAGGGCUUUACUCAAACUCCCGGAGUUGACUAUGAUGAGACCUUCUCACCAGUUGCGAAGAUUAAAUCUAUUAGAGUGAUGCUAGCAAUUGCCGCAUUUCAUGAUUAUGAGAUUUGGCAAAUGGAUGUCAAGACCGCUUUCCUUAACGGAAAGUUGGCUGAGGAUGUUUACAUGGCUCAGCCAGAGGGGUUUGUGGAUCCGAAGCAUCCGAAUAGAGUGUGUAAGCUUGAGAAGUCCAUUUAUGGACUUAAGCAAGCGUCUCGCAGAUGGAAUCUUUGC
rnacentral:lncRNA from 1 species